rnacentral:rRNA from 1 species
AAAAGAAACUAACAAGGAUUCCCCUAGUAACGGCGAGUGAAGCGGGAAGAGCACAAAUUUUAAAUCUACCUGGUUUCCAGGUCGAGUUGUAAUUUGAAGAAGUGUUUUUUACUUUCCGGGUUGGGUUAAAUCCUUUGGGAUAAGGUAUCAUGGAGGGUGAGAAUCCCGUGUAUACCAACCGCAGGAUYGUUUAAUAUACACUUUCUAAGAGUCGAGUUGUUUGGGAAUGCAGCUCUAAAUGGGUGGUAAAUUUCACCUAAUGCUAAAUAUAAGCGAGAGACCGAUAGCGAACAAGUACCGUGAGGGAAAGAUGAAAAGAACUUUGAAAAGAGAGUUAAAUAGUACGUGAAAUUGUUGAAAGGGAAACGGUURAAGUCAGUCAUGCCGGCGGGAAUCAACUUAGGGGAAACUCUGAGUGCACUUCUUCGCUUGGCAGGUUAGCGUCGAUUUUGGAUGUCAUAAAAUGACUGGGGGAAGGUAGCUCUUUCGGGAGUGUUAAGCCCUURGUAGAUGUGAUGUCYGGGAUCGAGGAUUGCAACGGAUACCUUUUGGGCUARCCGCCUAGUCUCUAAUAYGAAGUUGGGUUAUGGACAGCACGCUGACUGUGAUCUGAUUUUCGGUUAAAAGAUUAGAGCGAGUGUAAAUUCGUUAAGGACGCURACGUAAUGGCUUUAAACGACCCG